UGAUACGCAUAUGUGUUACCAAUGAGUC
rnacentral:piRNA from 1 species